rnacentral:rRNA from 1 species
UGGGGAAUAUUGGUCAAUGGGCGAAAGCCUGAACCAGCAAUGCCGCGUGAGUGAUGAAGGCCUUCGGGUUGUAAAGCUCUGUCAGAGGGAACGAAAAAACUGCGUAACGAGCAGUCUUGACGGUACCCUCAAAGGAAGCACCGGCUAACUCUGUGCCAGCAGCCGCGGUAAUACAGAGGGUGCAAGCGUUGUUCGGAAUUACUGGGCGUAAAGCGCAUGUAGGCGGCUUAUUAAGUCGGAUGUGAAAUCCCUUGGCUUAACCGAGGAACUGCAUUCGAUACUGGUAAGCUUGAGUGUCGGAGGGGAUGGUAGAAUUCCUGGUGUAGAGGUGAAAUUCGUAGAUAUCAGGAGGAAUACCUGUGGCGAAGGCGACCAUCUGGAAGACAACUGACGCUGAGAU